UGAAUGCUCUUGCGUCCGUGCCCACUCGCUAUCACCCACCGUGCUGCACCACCCACCCCGCUCCCUUCUCUCUCCGUCUCCCUCCUGAGUCUCCAUUCCUCUCCUCUCCCAGAUCCAGCAAAACCCUAGCCUCCGCCCGCCAUGGCCCUCGCGCUGCACCUCAGGCGGGCCCUCGCCGCCGCCUCUACCGCGGCGCCCCUCCUCCGCUCGUCCGCCUCCCUCACCUGUUCCCUCCUCCUCGCGUCACCCUCCUCCCCAGCUGCACCGCUCCCACUGCUCCGGGGCGGUGAUGGGGCUCUUGCGGCUCCACUCCGCGCUCGUCAUCUCCUUCUGCUCCCUCACACCGGCCGCCUCCGACCCGCGCCCCCCCGACGCCCGGCCUCCCGUGAAGGCACCUCCGACCUGGGGGCCGCCGCGCGUCCCCGCCCCCGACCCCGAGCCAGCCCGCCGGCACCACUGCCACUGCCAGCCCACGCUCGUGCGCUCGGAUCUCGGACGGAAGCCGUCACUCCAGUAGCCCGGCGAGUGAGCCUACGCGGCGGAUUCCCAGUGUGCUGUAGCUUGAUUUGUUUUUGUUCCUUGUCAAUUUGGCGUCGAGCUGCAGCUUGGUUUCUGCUUCAAGCUUUUGCCUUCAGAUUCCAGUGCAUUAUCAGUUGGUGUGCUUGGCUGGUUUGUUGUGUUCUGCAGGUUUUGUCAGUUUAGUAGCUGCAGCAAAAGCUCGACCAACAGGCAAGCAGCUUGCAGCUUAAGCAGAAUAAUCAGGCUGGUGAAGCAGAUCACUUUGGAGGAUGCUGAAGCGGAGAAUCCCUUCCAGGAUCUUUAGGAAAUGAAGCGCGGCACCAUGUGGCAGGAUCAUCGCCCACGACGUCGCAGCUCAACUUUACUCAUUUUUUUUCUUAAGAUGCAUAACCCGCUUAAUGCUCGAAAUCUUUCCAUAGUUAACCUUGAGUCAUGUGUUUAUGAUAUUGAUAACUGGGUUUUGUAUUAUUUUGUGAUUUGAGAUACUAUUAUUUCUCAUUGAAUCUGAUAUGCUAAUUGUAUUACCACGGAGAUGGAAAUGUACCCGCUUCAUCUAUUCAAAAGUACCUUGUGCAGAAGCUAGUCUUCCAAGUGAGUCUGAGAGGGGAUAUGAGUCCUGAGUGUCUUGUGCUAUCUGGAAUCUGGAGUGAUGAGCCAAACUUGAAAAAUAUUAGCUUCCCUCAAGUUUUCCCCCCAAAUACAAAUCAUACAUGGCAUUGCAUAUCUUAAGCUGUUCUUUGUAGUUUAUCUGAUGGUACCAUAGCACAAUCAUUUUCCCUCUUGUUUAUUUUGUCUUUUGCAGUGGCGAUGAGUCUCCUGAAGAUGCACAAGGCAGUGCUUGUACUUCUUUUAGUCGGUAGUUAAAUCAGUAGAUAAGAUUCAAUUGUUUUCCACUACUUGUCUUUACAAUACUUGAUUCUGAUGAGGACAUGACAAGUAUGCAUAUGGGAAAAAAUGGUGAAUGGCAUAAAGAUGGAGACCUAUAAGGUUUUUCAAGUCGAGAAGGCCCAAAGCUUAUCCGGUUCGAGUCCCCAAGGUGGAGGCUCAAAACAGCUCAAGUUCGAGUCCAUCUUGGAGUCUAGGAGCAGUCCGCAUAAAAAAUGAUGCCCAGGUCGCAUACGGAGUCCAUUUUGGACGUUCUUUAUAUGAAUCUGGUUUCAGGCCCAAAUUCAUUGGGAGUCAACGAGAAUCGUCGAAACAAUGACAUCCAGAAUCUGUCAGGGCGCUGCGCCGCCGUCUUUUAGGCUGUUGUACCAUGUAUCGUGUCGGGCCAAGUGGCCUAAGUGGUGGACGCCCUCUUGGCCACCACCAGCAACCCUAGGAUGUCCCUUAGGGUAUAAACUCAAUAGCCGCCGCCGAUAAUGAUAGGGUUUUGUUUGGUCUUGUAUUUUCCUUCGAGGAACAGAUAUUGUAUCGUUGUAUCUGUGGCGACAAGUCCUUAUACAUUGAUCCAGGGCUCCCGUUCUUUAUUUCCUCCACUGUGUCGAUUAGUCCUUCGGAAUCGAGUUCUUGAACCCUUGUGUUUCGCUUCAUCCAUAUUUGCAAUAUCAGAUUGCAUGAUUACAUCUUCUUGCUUGUGUCCUUCGAUUUGCUUGCAGGAAAAGCUUUCUCGGAAAAGCUUUCUCGGCGAGGUCAAUUAAGUUGUGCUUGGUUGAUAACCAAUAGAGCAAUGGUGUAGCAGUUGCAGGGUUCGAAUCGUGCUGAUUUGAAGCUGGAUCGUCAACGUCGAGUCCUCCACCAAUCAAAUUUAUUCCUACCUCUCGGAAGAUCGGGUCUACUCUUCAUCAAGUGGUAUCAAGAUUCCAGGUUGCUCGUGAGGUAUUAUCGUGUUUUUCCUCUUUAGAUUCAUUCGUGUUCAUCACCUAUAGUCCAUAAAAAGUCUUAAAAAAUUUGUUUUCACUGUCCUAUAACCCCUUUUGUGCCCCACAAUUUUUUAGUUCAGUUUGCUUUUUUGAAUUUUAGUCCCUCGUUGUGUUGUCGUGUCUAGAUUUUGUUUGUGGUUUAGUGUCAACUCUUGCUUUCGAUUUGCACUCAGCAUAAGUUAUAAAGUGAGAGAGAAAAGAAUUUUUUUCCACCACCUGAUUUGGUUGCUACAUUUAUUGGAGAGGACAAUUUGAAUCACUUGUAUUUGGUUUUCAUUGUUUACUCAUAGACAAAAGAGAAAAGAACAAAAGGCAAAGGUGCAAAAAAAAGAAGAAUAAGCCGCACCAAAAAAAAAGAGAACAACGAAAAGAAAGAAAUUCAGAUGUGAUUGCAUCCUUUGUGUUCCUGUGCAGUGCUAUAUUGUUGUUUGCUUGAACUAGAUCCAAGACGAGUUUAGGCCGACGACAUAGACUAGCUUGGGACUACUUUUCAGUCUUACAAUUCUGAAUUGAAAUUUUGAUAUUCCUUACUAUCAUAUUGUGUCUUCCCAAAACUCCACAUAUUACUUCUGUCAGCACAAGUUCACCUUGCAACUGUUACACUCAAGCUUGACAACGGAUUGUGCUGCCUGUUGGUUUUGGUAAGAACACUUGCAAGACGAUGGUUGUUCAUAUCCACCGACCUAUGAUGGUAUAGGUGCGGACGAGUGCAUGGAGCGGGAGAUUGUCAUAGAUAACAUAUUUGCUACUCGCUUUAUGUGUCCAAGGAGGAAGAUAAAAAAUGUAUCCAGUGUUUUGAGAUAUUUUGCUUUAUCUUGGUGGGAGUCUUUAGAUCCAUUAGAUAAACCUCAAACUUGGGAUGAUAUGAAAAUUGUUAUGAGAGAAAAUUUUGUAAAUCUAUUUCUUGUUAUUAAUUCAAAUGAUGAGGUGUUUUAGUUA